rnacentral:rRNA from 1 species
UACGGGGGGGGCAAGCGUUGUUCGGAAUUACUGGGCGUAAAGGGUGCGUAGGUGGCCUGUCAAGUCGGAUGUGAAAACUCUGGGCUUAACCCAGAGCCUGCAUUCGAUACUGACGGGCUAGAGUUCUGGAGGGGAAAGCGGAAUUCCUGGUGUAGCGGUGAAAUGCGUAGAUAUCAGGAGGAACACCGGUGGCGAAGGCGGCUUUCUGGACAGAAACUGACACUGAGGCACGAAAGCUAGGGGAGCAAACAGG